GUCAUUCGAAAAAGAAGAAGUGAAAAUUUGCCAUCGCGUUUGUUUGUUUUUUAUUAGUAGGAGAUAUUAAACCAUAAGUAAUACUGUAUUCGAUAAACAAUGGACACAUAACGGAAUCCAGUACACAAAUAAAACAAACUAUUUAUGAUUCCGUUUUAGCGAAGCAAGGCUUCAGGUUGUUUAUCUAUCUGAUCUUUACUUAAUAAGGAGAGUGAAGAUAACUAGCCUGCCGUUCUCCACCACAAACUGAGCCCAAGACUAUACUGACUGGGUCCUGACUGACAACAUCACUGGGCACCGCAGGAGAAAUGGCAUCAGUGAAAGACAGCAGUCAAACACUUCUGUUGAAUAUCAUCACGAAAGAUAAAGAGGAGGAAGUGAAGAUUUGGGAAUGUGAUGAUUAUCCAGGAGAGAGUCCAGACAUGGCAUCUGUAGAGCUGGCAGGCAGCAGUCAAACACUGGGGCUGAAUGUCAACAUUAAUGAAGAACAGAAGGAAGACAUUGGGGAAUCUGCUGAUCAUGGAGAGACCUCUAACUCCUCUGAGCAAGUGGAGACAUUUCCUGCAUCCGGGAAGAAACACCAGGAAGGGACCAAAGCUAAGAGGUCUCGCCGCUGUCCUCACUGUGAGGAGAGUUUCCCAUUCCCAUCAUAUCUUGAAAGACACCUUCGAAAACAUUCUGGAGAGAAGCCUUAUUCCUGCUCUGUUUGUGGGAGGAGUUUCUCUCAACUGAGUGGGUUGAACGUGCACCAGCGAACACACACUGGAGAGAAGCCUCACCGCUGUCCUCACUGUGAGGAGAGUUUCCCAUUUCCAUCAUAUCUUGAAAGACACCUACGAAAGCAUUCUGGAGAGAAGCCUUAUUCCUGCUCUGACUGUGGGAUGAGUUUUUCUCAACUGAGUGGCUUGAACGUGCACCAGCGAACACACACUGGAGAGAAGCCUCACCACUGUCCUCACUGUGAGAAGAGUUUCCCAUUCCUAUCAUAUCUUGAAAGACACCUGCGAAAACAUUCUGGAGAGAAGCCUUACUGCUGCUCUGACUGUGGGAAAUGCUUCACAACAUCAAGUCAUUUAACCUCCCAUCGCAGAGUUCACACAGGGGAGAAGCCUUACUCCUGCUCUGACUGUGGGAAGAGUUUCCCAUUCCCAUCAUAUCUUGAACGACACCUGCGGAAACAUGCUAACCAUUGUGUUAUAUGAAGGUCAUGUGGUGGCAACCAGCACUGAACAAUACAUUUUUGGCCAGCAGUCAACCCAGCCGGCCGGCAGUCAACCCAGCCGGCCGGCAGUCAACCCAGCCGGCCGGCAGUCAACCCAGCCGGCCAAACCACAUACACUGUUGUUCACUGGAAUCGUCAUUAAGUCGAAGAGGAAUCGGUUCAAGGAGUGAAGUCAGGAUAGGUGAUCCUUUCCUCCAAAACAUAUGAAUCCCAUAUCAUCUGUUUUAUAUGUGCCAAGUCUAUUGAGGGAGGCACAGGUUACAGUUUAGGCUUAAAGCCUGUUUUAUAUGUGCCAAGUCUAUUGAGGGAGGCACAGGUUACAGUUUAGGCUUAAAGCCUGUUUUAUAUGUGCCAAGUCUAUUGAGGGAGGCACAGGUUACAGUUUACAGUUUAGGCUUAAAGCCUGUUUUGUAUGAAUUAUUAUAAGUGGUGUCCAGCACAACCUAUGACAAAGCUUACAAUGAAUUAAUUGAUGGUUUGGGUUCUUUGAUCAGUGAAAUUAUCUUCUCCCAGACAUUCUCCUAGUCAAUAGCAUCAUCAUCAUCAUCAUCAGACAAAUACUUUACCCAUGAUUUAACCAUUUGGAAGAUAUUUUUUCUUUAGUAAUUGAAGAUGGAAAAUAAAUAGCAGACACCAAACCUCUGGACAAAUUUGUACCCAAUGGACACCAUAGGCACAAAGUGCAGACUGUAGACUAAGAUAGAGACAAAGUUCCUGGAAACUAGGGAGACCCUCUUAGUUAAAUAUAUCUCCUAGGUUUUUGAUCCCUUUUUCACACCAGGCGUUUGGCUCAAAUGGUUUAUUACCUGAAAGUAAUAGCCUUGUUAUGCCAUAGAGGGGUAUAGAGAUGCCACUUCCAGUUACCACCUGGAAGUGGACAGGUCCAUGACAGAUCCAUGUAAACGUAACUGGUGCCAUAGACUCUGUCUGGAAGGAAUGGGAUGCGUGUGCUAACGUACGGCAGUAGGUCUGGUGUUUUGGAGUUUUCGUCACUGAUUUAUUUGGACAUCUCAUGAUUUCGCAGAGGUUAGCGUCUUCCGAAAUUUCGGAAGUAGAGGGGGACAUUCGAUUCGUCACUAGCAAAGAGAGAGAUAGAGAGAGUGAAGCUUCUCAUUUUCUAGAAUGUCUUAAUCCCUUUCUCUUAACACAUAUGGAGCUAGAAUUGUAAUCGUGCAGCUGACCAUUUACACACUUCUCAACAUUCCUCAAGUUCUUUACUGCAUUGGAGAUAAUAGAACUGUAAUAUACUAUAACAUGCAUUUCUUAGUAUACUAGAAAAAUAACACAUCUUUCAAUCUAAUAAGGGGAAACUAAUUCCUUUUCAAUAACUACCAAGAGACUGGUGUAGACUGAUGAACCAUGAUAUAAGUGAUUGACCAUUAAGACGACCGCAUGCUUCCCAGCCUAAACAGGUCCUUGAAGUACCUCAAACUGGAUCUUUGCCAUUCCAUAAAGGUAUUUGUGUACAUGUUUAUUGAGUAAGUUUACAUUCCUGCUGACUGUCAAAAGAGGCAUUUUAAGAUUUUGGGAAUAUGAUGAUUGACCAGGUAAUCGAGCAGGUUUUAUUACCAGCGAUACGCGACCUGGUCACUGAUAAUAAAAGGCUUUACCCUGAA